AUCUAUAGCCAUACCACCCUGAAUAGGUCCAAUCUCUUCUGAUCUCAGAAGCUAAGGUGCUUCAGGCCUGGUUGGUACUUGGGUGGGAGAUUCUGGGAAAUCAUGUGCAGGUA
rnacentral:rRNA from 1 species